rnacentral:lncRNA from 1 species
AGGUGUACAACUGUUGAUUUGAUACAUUAUAUACUGCAAUAUGACUGCCAUUGUAGCAUUAGCUAACACCUCUAGUACAUGAAAUAAUUAUCAUUUUUUUGUGGUGGGAAUAAUAAAAAUCCGGUUUCUUGGAAAAUUUGAUGUUUAUAAUAAAAUAUUAUUGUCUAUAUUCACUAUGCUGUGCCUUAGAUCUCCAGGGCUUAUUUAUCUACAAAUUGCAAGUUUAUACCUUUAAACAAGACCUCUCCUCUUCUGUCGCUGCCCCCAGCGCCUGGUAACCACCAUUCUACUCUCCAAAACAAAGGCCGAUUAAGAAAAUAUGAAAAGUUCUCAGAUGUAUUAGCAAGGAAUUCCCUUGUCUCCUUUUAGUCCAUUUUUUAAAAUAACGGGAUAGAUCAUCGAUCACGUGGUCUCAUCCAAUUUGCCCCAUUUGCCGGGUGGGAAAACUGAGUUGAGAAAAGGAAAAAGUCUGAAGGGCAUGAGAGUGGUGACCGGUCUACAGCUGGCAUCCAGAUGCCCUGAGACCCAGCCUUGGCUGCUGCUUCAGACAUGUCUCCACGGUGGAAGGCGGAUCUUUACAAGAAACUCCAGAGGAGGCCACAGUUUCUGUGCUGCUUACCUGGUGACUCAGUUCGUUUGACCCACAAGGCAUAUACUGACUCUGUUAAUGCAGCCCAAGAUCGUUUGCAGCUGUAUACAUCUGGCUCAAAUUGAGCUUGUGGUCAACUAGAAGCCCCAGAUCUACUUCCCAGGAACUGCUGUCUGGCCGAGUCUUCCCA